rnacentral:rRNA from 1 species
CAUAUUCAUUUGACGUUAGCUGCAGAAGAAGCACCGGCUAACUCCGUGCCAGCAGCCGCGGUAAUACGGAGGGUGCGAGCGUUAAUCGGAAUUACUGGGCGUAAAGCGCAUGCAGGUGGUUUGUUAAGUCAGAUGUGAAAGCCCGGGGCUCAACCUCGGAAUUGCAUUUGAAACUGGCAAACUAGAGUACUGUAGAGGGGGUAGAAUUUCAGGUGUAGCGGUGAAAUGCGUAGAGAUCUGAAGGAAUACCGGUGGCGAAGGCGGCCCCCUGGACAGAUACUGACACUCAGAUGCGAAAGCGUGGGGAGCAAACAGGAUUAGAUACCCUGGUAG